UAACAAGCAAACCAAAUCGAGGGCAACUCAUCAGAAGAGAGAUCGAUAAGGCAGGUGAUAACAACAACAAGCUAAAUGGGGGAACUAGAAAAAAAAGAAAAAUAAGAAACAGGCAUUUUGGAAA
ensembl:ncRNA F56D12.10 ncRNA